UACGGAGGGAGCUAGCGUUGUUCGGAAUUACUGGGCGUAAAGCGCGCGUAGGCGGCUUUGUAAGUUAGAGGUGAAAGCCCGGGGCUCAACUCCGGAAUUGCCUUUAAGACUGCAUCGCUAGAAUUGUGGAGAGGUAAGUGGAAUUCCGAGUGUAGAGGUGAAAUUCGUAGAUAUUCGGAAGAACACCAGUGGCGAAGGCGACUUACUGGACACAUAUUGACGCUGAGGUGCGAAAGCGUUGGGAGCAAACGGG
rnacentral:rRNA from 1 species